GUAGGUGAACCUGCGGAGGGAUCAUUACAAGAACGCCCGGGCUUCGGCCUGGUUAUUCAUAACCCUUUGUUGUCCGACUCUGUUGCCUCCGGGGCGACCCUGCCUUCGGGCGGGGGCUCCGGGUGGACACUUCAAACUCUUGCGUAACUUUGCAGUCUGAGUAAAAAUUAAUAGCUAAAAACUUUCAACAACGGAUCUCUUGGUUCUG
rnacentral:misc_RNA from 1 species